GCGCUCUUAGUUUAGUUUGGUAGAAUAUGGGUCUCCAAAACCUAAUGUCGUAAGUUCAAAUCCUAUAGAACUUG